rnacentral:rRNA from 1 species
GACGAACGCUGGCGGCGUGCUUAACACAUGCAAGUCGAACGAAAAUACCAAGCUUGCUUGGUUGAUUAGUGGCGAACGGGUGAGUAACACGUGAGUAACCUGCCCCUUACUUUCCUGGAUAACUGCUCGAAAGGGUAGCUAAUACGGGAUAUUCUGACCAGUCUGCAUGGGUUGGUUUGGAAAGGUUGUUUUUCUGGUAAGGGAUGGGCUCGCGGCCUAUCAGCUUGUUGGUGGGGUGAUGGCCUACCAAGGCUUUGACGGGUAGCCGGCCUGAGAGGGUGGACGGUCACACUGGGACUGAGAUACGGCCCAGACUCCUACGGGAGGCAGCAGUGGGGAAUAUUGCACAAUGGGCGCAAGCCUGAUGCAGCGACGCCGCGUGAGGGAUGAAGGCCUUCGGGUUGUAAACCUCUUUCGUCAGGGAACAAGGCACUGCUUUGGUGGUGUUGAGGGUACCUGGAUAAGAAGCGCCGGCUAACUACGUGCCAGCAGCCGCGGUAAUACGUAGGGCGCAAGCGUUGUCCGGAAUUAUUGGGCGUAAAGAGCUCGUAGGCGGCUGGUCGCGUCUGUCGUGAAAACUUCCGGCUCAACCGGGGGCUUGCGGUGGGUACGGGCCGGCUAGAGUGCGGUAGGGGUAACUGGAACUCCUGGUGUAGCGGUGGAGUGCGCAGAUAUCAGGAAGAACACCGAUGGCGAAGGCAGGUUACUGGGCCGUUACUGACGCUGAGGAGCGAAAGCGUGGGGAGCGAACAGG